CACGGCGGGUGCUAACGUCCGUCGUGAAGAGGGAAACAACCCAGACCGCCAGCUAAGGUCCCAAAGUCAUGGUUAAGUGGGAAACGAUGUGGGAAGGCCCAGACAGCCAGGAUGUUGGCUUAGAAGCAGCCAUCAUUUAAAGAAAGCGUAAUAGCUCACUGGUCGAGUCGGCCUGCGCGGAAGAUGUAACGGGGCUAAACCAUGCACCGAAGCUGCGGCAGCGACACUGUGUGUUGUUGGGUAGGGGAGCGUUCUGUAAGCCUGUGAAGGUGGCCUGUGAGGGUUGCUGGAGGUAUCAGAAGUGCGAAUGCUGACAUAAGUAACGAUAAAGCGGGUGAAAAGCCCGCUCGCCGGAAGACCAAGGGUUCCUGUCCAACGUUAAUCGGGGCAGGGUGAGUCGACCCCUAAGGCGAGGCCGAAAGGCGUAGUCGAUGGGAAACAGGUUAAUAUUCCUGUACUUGGUGUUACUGCGAAGGGGGGACGGAGAAGGCUAUGUUGGCCGGGCGACGGUUGUCCCGGUUUAAGCGUGUAGGCUGGUUUUCCAGGCAAAUCCGGAAAAUCAAGGCUGAGGCGUGACGACGAGGCACUACGGUGCUGAAGCAACAAAUGCCCUGCUUCCAGGAAAAGCCUCUAAGCAUCAGGUAACAUCAAAUCGUACCCCAAACCGACACAGGUGGUCAGGUAGAGAAUACCAAGGCGCUUGAGAGAACUCGGGUGAAGGAACUAGGCAAAAUGGUGCCGUAACUUCGGGAGAAGGCACGCUGACACGUAGGUGAAGUGAUUUACUCAUGGAGCUGAAGUCAGUCGAAGAUACCAGCUGGCUGCAACUGUUUAUUAAAAACACAGCACUGUGCAAACACGAAAGUGGACGUAUACGGUGUGACGCCUGCCCGGUGCCGGAAGGUUAAUUGAUGGGGUCAGCGCAAGCGAAGCUCCUGAUCGAAGCCCCGGUAAACGGCGGCCGUAACUAUAACGGUCCUAAGGUAGCGAAAUUCCUUGUCGGGUAAGUUCCGACCUGCACGAAUGGCGUAAUGAUGGCCAGGCUGUCUCCACCCGAGACUCAGUGAAAUUGAACUCGCUGUGAAGAUGCAGUGUACCCGCGGCAAGACGGAAAGACCCCGUGAACCUUUACUAUAGCUUGACACUGAACAUUGAGCCUUGAUGUGUAG
rnacentral:rRNA from 1 species